rnacentral:rRNA from 1 species
GACGAACGCUGGCGGCGUGCCUAAUACAUGCAAGUAGAACGCACAGUUUAUACCGUAGCUUGCUACACCAUAGACUGUGAGUUGCGAACGGGUGAGUAACGCGUAGGUAACCUGCCUGGUAGCGGGGGAUAACUAUUGGAAACGAUAGCUAAUACCGCAUAAUAUUAAUUAUUGCAUGAUAAUUAAUUGAAAGUUGCAAUUGCACCACUACCAGAUGGACCUGCGUUGUAUUAGCUAGUAGGUGAGGUAACGGCUCACCUAGGCGACGAGACAUAGCCGACCUGAGAGGGUGAGCGGACACACUGGGACUGAGACACAGCCCAGACUCCUACGGGAGGCAGCAGUAGGGAAUCUUCGGCAAUGGACGAAAGUCUGACCGAGCAACGCCGCGUGAGUGAAGAAGGUUUUCGGAUCGUAAAGCUCUGUUGUAAGAGAAGAACGGGUGUGAGAGUGGAAAGUUCACACUGUGACGGUAUCUUACCAGAAAGGGACGGCUAACUACGUG